GACGAACGCUGGCGGCAUGCCUAACACAUGCAAGUCGAACGGAGUAAGAGAGAAGCUUGCUUAGCUCUUACUUAGUGGCGGACGGGUGAGUAACGCGUGAGUAACCUGCCUUUCAGAGGGGGAUAACGUUCUGAAAAGAACGCUAAUACCGCAUGAUAUAUUGGGGUCGCAUGGCCUUGGUAUCAAAGGAGCAAUCCGCUGAAAGAUGGACUCGCGUCCGAUUAGCCAGUUGGCAGGGUAACGGCCUACCAAAGCGACGAUCAGUAGCCGACCUGAGAGGGUGACCGGCCACAUUGGGACUGAGACACGGCCCAAACUCCUACGGGAGGCAGCAGUGGGGAAUAUUGCACAAUGGGCGAAAGCCUGAUGCAGCGACGCCGCGUGAGUGAAGAAGUAUUUCGGUAUGUAAAGCUCUAUCAGCAGGGAAGAAAAUGACGGUACCUGACUAAGAAGCCCCGGCUAACUACGUGCCAGCAGCCGCGGUAAUACGUAGGGGGCAAGCGUUAUCCGGAUUUACUGGGUGUAAAGGGAGCGUAGACGGCGAAGCAAGUCUGAAGUGAAAACCCAGGGCUCAACCCUGGGACUGCUUUGGAAACUGUUUUGCUAGAGUGUCGGAGAGGUAAGUGGAAUUCCUAGUGUAGCGGUGAAAUGCGUAGAUAUUAGGAGGAACACCAGUGGCGAAGGCGGCCAACUGGGCUUUUACUGACGCUGAGGCUCGAAAGCGUGGGGAGCAAACAGGAUUAGAUACCCUGGUAGUCCACGCUGUAAACGAUGAUUACUAGGUGUGGGGGGACUGACCCCUUCCGUGCCGGAGUUAACACAAUAAGUAAUCCACCUGGGGAGUACGGCCGCAAGGUUGAAACUCAAAGGAAUUGACGGGGGCCCGCACAAGCAGUGGAGUAUGUGGUUUAAUUCGAAGCAACGCGAAGAACCUUACCAAGUCUUGACAUCCCAAUGACGUGUCCGUAACGGGGCAUUCUCUUCGGAGUAUUGGAGACAGGUGGUGCAUGGUUGUCGUCAGCUCGUGUCGUGAGAUGUUGGGUUAAGUCCCGCAACGAGCGCAACCCUUAUCCUUAGUAGCCAGCAGGUAAAGCUGGGCACUCUAGGGAGACUGCCGGGGAUAACCCGGAGGAAGGCGGGGAUGACGUCAAAUCAUCAUGCCCCUUAUGAUUUGGGCUACACACGUGCUACAAUGGCGUAAACAAAGGGAAGCGAGACAGUGAUGUUGAGCAAAUCCCAGAAAUAACGUCUCAGUUCGGAUUGUAGUCUGCAACUCGACUACAUGAAGCUGGAAUCGCUAGUAAUCGCGAAUCAGCAUGUCGCGGUGAAUACGUUCCCGGGUCUUGUACACACCGCCCGUCACACCAUGGGAGUUGGAAAUGCCCGAAGCCUGUGACCUAACCGCAAGGGAGGAGCAGUCGAAGGCAGGUCUAAUAACUGGGGUGAAGUCGUAAC
rnacentral:rRNA from 1 species